rnacentral:rRNA from 1 species
GACGAACGCUGGCGGUGUGCUUAACACAUGCAAGUCGAGCGGUAAGGCCCUUUCGGGGGUACACGAGUGGCGAACGGGUGAGUAACACGUGAGUAACCUGCCCUCAUCUCUGGGAUAACAGUCGGAAACGGUUGCUAAUACUGGAUAUGAGCUUGCAAGGCAUCUUGUGGGUUGGAAAGAUUUUUUUGGUUGGGGAUGGACUCGCGGCCUAUCAGCUUGUUGGUGAGGUAGUGGCUCACCAAGGCUUCGACGGGUAGCCGGCCUGAGAGGGCGACCGGCCACAUUGGGACUGAGAUACGGCCCAAACUCCUACGGGAGGCAGCAGUGGGGAAUAUUGCACAAUGGACGGAAGCCUGAUGCAGCAACGCCGCGUGCGGGAUGACGGCCUUCGGGUUGUAAACCGCUUUCAAUUGUGACGAAGCUUUUUGUGACGGUAGCAGUAGAAGAAGCACCGGCUAACUACGUG